rnacentral:sRNA from 1 species
GCCACGCAGAAAAAGGAGGGGUUGAAAAGGGAGUAGCCAUCUGAUAUCUAGUCAGCAUGAAUUGGCCUUCGGUUCCCUGCCACCCGACCCUUUUCUCCUGCCUCUUACUGCUCUAGUGAUACCACUUAUGCUAUUGUCUAUGGCAGGUUUAUUUGUAUCUAUCCUGCUUAUUUAAAUAAUAAGAAGACCAUCGCAGAGGGAAGGCGAAUCCCCAUAAGUAAGGCUGUUGAAAAUCCUACAGCUACAGAGAUUCAAGAUGUAUGUUCAGCAGUUGGACUUAACGUAUUUCUUGAGAAAAAUAAAAUGUACUCUAGAGAAUGGAAUCGUGAUGUCCAAUACAGAGGCAGAGUCCGGGUCCAGCUCAAACAGGAAGAUGGCAGCCUCUGCCUUGUACAGUUCCCAUCACGUAAGUCAGUAAUGUUGUAUGCAGCAGAAAUGAUACCUAAACUAAAAACAAGGACACAAAAAACAGGAGGUGCUGACCAAAGUCUUCAACAAGGAGAGGGAAGUAAAAAAGGGAAAGGAAAGAAAAAGAAGUAACCUAGUAUCAGCAUCAAGUAUGUGGUACUACUGUAAGAGACAUGAAUGGAGACUUCUAAUUUGUAUCGGAGGGAAACAGAAGCUUUUUGUUCGCAUCAUUUAACUGAACUGUGAACCCUCGUGCCUCUCAUCUUUAUCAUCGGAGUUGACAGUGAAACAGAUUUACAUCAGAAGUUUGCGUCUCGCU